GACGAACGCUGGCGGCGUGCCUAAUACAUGCAAGUAGAACGCUGAAGGAGGAGCUUGCUUCUCCGGAUGAGUUGCGAACGGGUGAGUAACGCGUAGGUAACCUGCCUGGUAGCGGGGGAUAACUAUUGGAAACGAUAGCUAAUACCGCAUAAGAGUAGAUGUUGCAUGACAUUUGCUUAAAAGGUGCAAUUGCAUCACUACCAGAUGGACCUGCGUUGUAUUAGCUAGUUGGUGGGGUAACGGCUCACCAAGGCGACGAUACAUAGCCGACCUGAGAGGGUGAUCGGCCACACUGGGACUGAGACACGGCCCAGACUCCUACGGGAGGCAGCAGUAGGGAAUCUUCGGCAAUGGACGGAAGUCUGACCGAGCAACGCCGCGUGAGUGAAGAAGGUUUUCGGAUCGUAAAGCUCUGUUGUAAGAGAAGAACGAGUGUGAGAGNGGAAAGUUCACACNGNGACGG
rnacentral:rRNA from 1 species